rnacentral:rRNA from 1 species
GCCGUUAAGACAUAACUGCCCGUACUGCAAACCGACACAGGUGGACAGGGUGAGAAACCUAAGACGGACAGGCUAACUCUCGCUAAGGAACUCUGCAAAAUGGCCCCGUAACUUCGGGAGAAGGGGUGCCUUUGAUGGUGAUGGUUCACGCAACCUAAGCUGUCGGAGGCCGCAGUGAAAAGACUCAAGCGACUGUUUAACAAAAACACAGGUCUAUGCUAAGCUGAAAGGCGAUGUAUAUGGGCUGACACCUGCCCAGUGCCGGAAGGUUAAGAGGAGGAGUGAGAGCUCCGAAUUGAAGCCCCGGUGAACGGCGGCCGUAACAAUAACGGUCCUAAGGUAGCGAAAUUCCUUGUCGGGUAAGUUCCGACCUGCACGAAUGGUGUAACGAUUUGAGUGCUGUCUUGGCGGGAGGCCUGGUGAAGUUGUAUUAUGGGUGAAGAUACCCAUUACCUGCAGCAGGACGGAAAGACCCCAUGGAGCUUUACUGUAGCUUGGUAUUGGGUCUUGAUGCUGUGUGUAUAGGAUAGUUGGGAGACUUUGAUUGUAGGCCGCCAGGUUUACAUGAGUCGUUGGUGGAAUACCAACCACGCAGUAUUGGGAUUCUAAUCUGGUGUGUGUAACACUGGAGACAGUGCUAGGUGGGCAGUUUGACUGGGGCGGUCGCCUCCGAAAGAGUAACGGAGGCGCUCGAAGGUUCCCUCAGGUUGGAUGGAAAUCAACCGCAGAGUGCAAAGGCAUAAGGGAGCUUGACUGCAAGACUGACAAGUCGAGCAGGUGCGAAAGCAGGACUUAGUGAUCCGGCGAUUCCGAAUGGAAGGGUCGUCGCUCAACGGAUAAAAGCUACCCUGGGGAUAACAGGCUGAUUCUGCCCGAGAGUCCAUAUCGACGGCAGAGUUUGGCACCUCGAUGUCGGCUCAUCUUAUCCUGGGGCUGGAGAAGGUCCCAAGGGUUGGGCUGUUCGCCCAUUAAAAAGGUACGUGAGCUGGGUUCAGAACGUCGUGAGACAGUUCGGUCCCUAUCCGCUGCAGGCGCUAGAGUAUUGCGAAGAUCUGCCCUUAGUACGAGAGGACCGGGGUGGACAAACCUCUGAUGUAUCAGUUGUCACGCCAGUGGCAUAGCUGGGUAGUCACGUUUGGAAUGGAUAACCGCUGAAAGCAUCUAAGUGGGAAACCAACUUCAAGAUAAGUACUCUUUAACUUUAAGUUAAUAAGUCACCUUCGAGACUAGGAGGUUGAUAGGCUGGGGGUGUAAGGAUUGUAAAAUCUUUAGCUGACCAGUACUAAUUAGACGAAUGCUUAUGC